UUUAAUGAAUGUCCAAGAAAAGGUUCAUUUAUUAAGAAAUUAAACCGUAAAAAAAAAAAAAAGUAUGUUUUUCGGUUGAGAAUAAAAUUGUUAAAUCAAUUAUGUUUACAUUCAACUUUCCAUUUCCACUCCCAAGUAUAUACUGAAGAUGAUUUAAUCAUUAGUGUGUUUUUCCGUGUUUGUUUGGCGCUAAUAUUUUAAUUAAAAAUGUUAAUUUGACCUCGGGCGGCAGCCAUCAUUUGCAUACGACUAAACAAGCGUGUGUAUAAUCUGCUUCUUUCUGCUGUUUAGUUUGUGCUCUCUCAGGAAGGAUCGAGCAGCACAAUGUUGUCCAUAAGGCAUGGACAAAAAAAGAAAAGAAGCCCAAAAGGCAACAAGAGGAAGCGGAAGCUAAUGAAAAUAAGUCCUGAAGAUCAAACAAUCGCUACAUAAAAUUGUGUUUUUAUACAUCAUCGACAAAAGGAAUUGGUUGUAUUUUUUUUUUUUUACAAGACAUUUGAUUUAUGGUUAUUUUGUAAUAAUGCUGAUGAGAACAUUAGCCCCUUUUGUGAAGCUUUACAUUUAUAGGCAAUAGAAAAAAAUAAAAUAUAGCAUAAAGUCAGCCAAAACACUAUUUUGCUAACAGGAAGAGAGGAUUUAUGCUUGACAGAUUAAUCACUCCAUCAUAAAGAUGAAAGUACCGCCAUAUUUUCUCCUUUUUUUUUUCUUUCUUUUUUUUUAUAGGGAUGUACAACAUGCUGAAAGUCGGCCCUUGGGGACCUGCAGCCUGCAGACCCGAGAGGAAGUCUCUCCUCCAUUGAAAACAUGCAAUUUACUGUCCUUCAUCAUUCACAAGAGCUUUAACCCCAUCAAUGUCAAACAGCUGCAGGAUUACCAUAAGAACCACACUUUAGGGACGUGCACCCUAAAAAAGGCUUAAACGUCAAGGAUCGUAAUAAUCAUAGUAAUCAAUUAUUGUAUGCUGCCUUGUUGUAGCAACAUGUAUAUUUCAUAGUUGGUAAGAAUAAAUAAAUACAAUGCAUGAAUAUAAGUUCAUACUGUACAGAUAAUGUGAUUAAAAUAUAUUUCCUUGGGGUUAAUUCAUGCAAGUUUAUGUUAACUUUAUUUUUGUUACAAACCUAAAUUCAGAGGGGAAUAUAUUUUUUGUUCCGGUUUGGUCACGUUGUUGGGGGGGACAAUUAAAAUGUGACGGACUUAAGGAAGCAGCAUGACAAGACAAGUGUUUGCCAAUGAUUAUUUCUGCCACACCUGUGCUCCUCUUUUUGGAACCUUCUGCUUGCAUGUCGCCUGCCUUCUCUGCAUCCCAGGAUCCCACCAAAUGCCAGCAUGCGGACAUCGUCUCCUAUCAGUGUUUGUGUCCAGAACCGGCCUGCUGACUGCCAAGGGCGAACAUCGAGUGCCGUGACGCAGACAGAGCAGAGACAAGGCGAUAUCACGAGUGUCAGCACAUUUGCAUUUCAUGAAUAGUCAUAUAUUGUGUCUAACUGGGGCUGCUGAGAUUAACCCCCUUCCUUCAGCGGCAGCCUCAGUGAUGUAACCAGGGACCUCACAAAUAAAUAGAGGAGCACGUGGGCCGGACUUUAGAGCGUAGGUUGUUUCUGUAACUAGAGUACAGCCCAAAACG